rnacentral:lncRNA from 1 species
UUUUUAUAUCGUCAUAAUCUGAUCUGCAAACUCAUGUUAAAAUCAGAUCUUUUAAACAUGCUUAGCUUUUGAAUUUUAAUAAGAUCAUCAAAUAUAGCUUUUCAUCAUUGGAGUACAUCACCUUGAAAACAUCUUCAGAAUCAAAUUCCAAAUCAAAUGUGUUGCCAUAAUAUUGAGGAUAUUUUUACUGCCUAGACAAUAGAAUUGACUUUUGGAUUGGAAUUUGAGUCCUGACUAUCAAAGAAAAAAAAAGACUUUCUUCUAGAUAUAUUUUAUUGUUUUAUCAACAACUUUUAUCCAUGUCUGUCAUAGGUCUUCCACACUUCUCUAUAUUGAGAUCGCCCCUUCUUGUUUUAUGUUGCUUAUUAGUGUUAAUUAAAUUGCAACUGAAUAAUCAUAAGUUGCUUAUAUCUUGUGAGCUCAACCACAAAAUAACAAAUGGGAUUCAAUGAAUCAGGUCCAGCUUUUCUUGAAAAAUUCUGGAGAUAUAUGACCUAUAACUGUUUCCAAAUCUCCAGGAUGACGUGCAAUAAUAUGCUGCACUUUACUAUAAAUUACUAUAGUAUUCUUUAUUAUAAAUUAUUUGAAUAUGAUUCAUCAUUUCAACUAGAGGCUCUAGGAUUGAUCUUUCAAUUUUGGAUUUAGUACAGUUGCGACGUGCCCCGGCCAUCCACCGAGAACCCGUCAAAAGUUUGGCCCCAGUCCCCCACAACACUAGUCCGUCAUUUAGUCCUAAUACUGACCUCCAGCUCCAUUUCCUGUAGCCAACGUAAAAUAUAAUCAACAACACCAAAACAGUCCAUUUCAGCUGGGUUAUACAAAGAUUUAUU